GAAGCUAUAGUUCAGUGGUCGAGUGUGUGCUUGGCAUGCACGAGGUCCUGGGUCCAAACCUCAAUACCUCCA
rnacentral:tRNA from 1 species